rnacentral:rRNA from 2 species
UCCGGAUCGAGGACAGUGUAUGGUGGGCAGUUUGACUGGGGCGGUCUCCUCCUAAAGAGUAACGGAGGAGUACGAAGGUGCGCUCAGACCGGUCGGAAAUCGGUCGCAGAGUAUAAAGGCAAAAGCGCGCUUGACUGCGAGACAGACACGUCGAGCAGGUACGAAAGUAGGUCUUAGUGAUCCGGUGGUUCUGUAUGGAAGGGCCAUCGCUCAACGGAUAAAAGGUACUCCGGGGAUAACAGGCUGAUACCGCCCAAGAGUUCAUAUCGACGGCGGUGUUUGGCACCUCGAUGUCGGCUCAUCACAUCCUGGGGCUGAAGCCGGUCCCAAGGGUAUGGCUGUUCGCCAUUUAAAGUGGUACGCGAGCUGGGUUUAGAACGUCGUGAGACAGUUCGGUCCCUAUCUGCCGUGGACGUUUGAGAUUUGAGAGGGGCUGCUCCUAGUACGAGAGGACCGGAGUGGACGAACCUCUGGUGUUCCGGUUGUCACGCCAGUGGCAUUGCCGGGUAGCUAUGUUCGGAAAAGAUAACCGCUGAAAGCAUCUAAGCGGGAAACUUGCCUCAAGAUGAGAUCUCACUGGGAACUUGAUUCCCCUGAAGGGCCGUCGAAGACUACGACGUUGAUAGGCUGGGUGUGUAAGCGUUGUGAGGCGUUGAGCUAACCAGUACUAAUUGCCCGUGAGGCUUGACCAUAUAACACCCAAACA